UUUUUUGCAAAAAAAUUGGCUUGCAGAUCAGGAAACGAAAUCCACACCACAGCUUUUGACGUUUCUUGUCGAGGGUUAAAUCCCAUGGUCCAUGGGAAAGUCCUAAAGAAGAACUCGUCUUCCUUUUCCUUAGCGUAACCAGUUGUUCUUGACAAUACAUGAACAAAGUCUUCAAAAAGACCAAAUCUUACCAGAAUAUGCUGGUAAUCUAGCCGUCCAACGUUGCAGGUUGUUCUUGACAAUAAUGAACAAAGUCUUCAAAAAGAUCAAAUCUUACCAGGAUAUGCCGGUAAUCUAGCUGUCCAACGUUGCAUUUACCUUUGACGUCAAGUUAUUUUGGUAUAAUCUGC
rnacentral:lncRNA from 1 species